rnacentral:lncRNA from 1 species
AGACGUAAGCCUGGAUUAAAGAUGCAAAAAUAUUUUUGAAUCGGCGAGUUUGGAACACUCGCUUGUUUUCAAUUACAGAUGUUACAUAGCGCAACAGCCUAACCAUUACACUAUCAGCUCAUACACGAUAAUUGGUUUAAAGUAAUAUUUAUACAUUAGACAUAUUAAAAAAAAAACAUUUCAUAAAACUAUAAUGGGGCUCAGUCAAACACGCCGUGACACAAUAAUGUUAAAAAGCAAUACGUCAA